rnacentral:rRNA from 1 species
UACAGAGGUCUCAAGCGUUGUUCGGAUUCAUUGGGCGUAAAGGGCUCGUAGGCGGCCAACUAAGUCAGACGUGAAAUCCCCAGGCUCAACCUGGGAACUGCGUCUGAUACUGGAUGGCUUGAGUUCGGGAGAGGGAUGCGGAAUUCCAGGUGUAGCGGUGAAAUGCGUAGAUAUCUGGAGGAACACCGGUGGCGAAGGCGGCAUCCUGGACCGACACUGACGCUGAGGAGCGAAAGCCAGGGGAGCAAACGGG